AAGGCGGGUUCCUGGACAUUAACUGACGCUGAGGCACGAAGGCCAGGGGAGCGAAAGGGAUUAGAUACCCCUGUAGUCCUGGCAGUAAACGGUGCACGCUUGGUGUGCGGGGAAUCGACCCCCUGCGUGCCGGAGCUAACGCGUUAAGCGUGCCGCCUGGGGAGUACGGUCGCAAGAUUAAAACUCAAAGAAAUUGACGGGGACCCGCACAAGCGGUGGAGUAUGUGGCUUAAUUCGAUGCAACGCGAAGAACCUUACCUGGGCUUGACAUGUAAUGAACAACAUGUGAAAGCAUGCGACUCUUCGGAGGCGUUACACAGGUGCUGCAUGGCCGUCGUCAGCUCGUGUCGUGAGAUGUUUGGUUAAGUCCAGCAACGAGCGCAACCCCUGUUGCCAGUUACCAGCACGUAAAGGUGGGGACUCUGGCGAGACUGCCCAGAUCAACUGGGAGGAAGGUGGGGACGACGUCAGGUCAGUAUGGCCCUUAUGCCCAGGGCUGCACACGUACUACAAUGCCCAGUACAGAGGGGGCCGAAGCCGCGAGGCGGAGGAAAUCCUAAAAACUGGGCCCAGUUCGGACUGUAGGCUGCAACCCGCCUACACGAAGCCGGAAUCGCUAGUAAUGGCGCAUCAGCUACGGCGCCGUGAAUACGUUCCCGGGUCUUGUACACACCGCCCGUCACAUCAUGGAAGCCGGUCGCACCCGAAGUAUCUGAAGCCAACCGCAAGGAGGCAGGGUCCUAAGGUGAGACUGGUAACUGGGAUGAAGUCGUAACAAGGUAGCCGUAGGGGAACCUGCGGCUG
rnacentral:rRNA from 1 species